GCGUAUAGUUUAUAAAAAUUCUAGUCUGUGACCCUAGAGAUGAGGCUUAAUCACCCUCUACCCACC
rnacentral:tRNA from 1 species